rnacentral:piRNA from 1 species
GACCUUUGUGAGUCAGGGAUAGGUGGA